UAAUUUUGCAAGCUGAUAGAAAAUCUAUCUGUACAUAAUAAUCAUUGAACCAAUAUUGGCAUG
rnacentral:ncRNA from 1 species